UACGUAGGGGGCAAGCGUUGUCCGGAUUUAUUGGGCGUAAAGAGCGUGUAGGCGGCUAGGUAGGUCCGUUGUGAAAACUCGAGGCUCAACCUCGAGACGUCGAUGGAAACCAUCUAGCUAGAGUCCGGAAGAGGAGAGUGGAAUUCCUGGUGUAGCGGUGAAAUGCGCAGAUAUCAGGAGGAACACCGGUGGCGAAGGCGGAUCUCUGGGCCUUACCUGACGCUGAGGAGCGAAAGCGUGGGGAGCAAACAGG
rnacentral:rRNA from 1 species